GCGAAAGUGGCGGAACUGGUAGACGCACUGGAUUUAGGUUCCAGCGCCGCAAGGCGUGCGGGUUCGAGUCCCGCCUUUCGCA
rnacentral:tRNA from 3 species